GAGAGGCCUUUAUUUUGCUAAGUUGGGAAGCUUGGUGCACACGGAAAAUAUGACGUGGACAAAGGAAUGGGUAGCUUCAUGCACAUGUGGGAGAAAGUAGUCCACACAUGAAACAGAUUGGGACUAGUUCGUGAAUGGGAUGACUCGACCUGCACACACAUUAGACUAAAUUAAUAUAGAAAAUUAAAUCAAACUUGAAUUACCUCUAAUAAUUUA
rnacentral:lncRNA from 1 species